AGUGAACGCUGGCGGUAGGCCUAACACAUGCAAGUCGAACGGCAGCACAGUAAGAGCUUGCUCUUACGGGUGGCGAGUGGCGGACGGGUGAGGAAUACAUCGGAAUCUACUUUUUCGUGGGGGAUAACGUAGGGAAACUUACGCUAAUACCGCAUACGACCUACGGGUGAAAGCAGGGGUUCUUCGGACCUUGCGCGAUUGAAUGAGCCGAUGUCGGAUUAGCUAGUUGGCGGGGUAAAGGCCCACCAAGGCGACGAUCCGUAGCUGGUCUGAGAGGAUGAUCAGCCACCGUGGAACUGAGACAAGGUCCAGACUCCUACGAGAGGCAGCAGUGGGGAAUAUUGGACAAUGGGCGCAAGCCUGAUCCAGCCAUACCGCGUGGGUGAAGAAGGCCUUCGGGUUGUAAAGCCCUUUUGUUGGGAAAGAAAAGCAGCAGGUUAAUACCCCGCUGUUCUGACGUUACCCAAAGAAUAAGCACCGGCUAACUUCGUG
rnacentral:rRNA from 1 species